rnacentral:rRNA from 1 species
UACGUAGGGCGCAAGCGUUGUCCGGAAUCAUUGGGCGUAAAGAGCUCGUAGGUGGUCUGUUACGUCUGCUGUGAAAUCCUAGGGCUUAACCCUGGGCCUGCAGUGGAUACGGGCAGACUAGAGGUAGGUAGGGGAGAAUGGAAUUCCCGGUGUAGCGGUGAAAUGCGCAGAUAUCGGGAGGAACACCGGUGGCGAAGGCGGUUCUCUGGGCCUUACCUGACACUGAGGAGCGAAAGCGUGGGGGAGCAAACAGG